CGCUUGCUACAGGAACCCCCAGGCGUGUUCGUGUACGCAGAAACGCGUCGGUAACGCAGACCCGCGCUCGAGCAGCAGCACAGCUCCCGGUGCGCCGGUCCUUCCCGCUUGUUAAAUUUCCCGUUUCCGAGAAGCGGGUUGUAAACGGUUCAGCCAGCCCCCCUCUCACCGCUUGGCCAACCCCUGGCAGCACCGCUGUCUGAACCAGGGAAAGCUGGUGCCUCGGGAGCCGGGAAGGGCGUCGGGGCGUCCGGCAGAGCCCCUGCGUGUGCCGACGCCUGCUCUUCCCUUGCAGCUCCGCUGCUCCCCUGCGGCCGGGGACGGCCUGGUCGCCGGCACUCGCAGGCCAAGGUUUCGCUCUAAAUGGCCGUGUGAAGCUGCACUGAAAAUAAAAUCCAGUUUGGAGAUUGACGGUAGAAGGUGAAGCUUAACCGACCUAUCAGUUAGUGUCUCUCCUUAUUCCAAGAAGAAGUCAACUCUGGGACACCCAGAGGCAGCACUGCAAAGUGAGAAGCUUCAUUAUGGACAGCAGCAUAGCACAGAGAUACGGGGACAGCCACUGUGUCUCACUGCCCUUUCUCUAAAACCUCCUAUAGAAUCCAUGGCUGGAGGCUAACUGCCACCCACUGUCGUUCUUUUGCUGUCUUCGUGGGAGAGUGGUUCCUGCAUGACAUCUCUCCUUAUGUUGUUAGAUGAAGAAGUCAGCUACAGUGUGCUUAUGACAGUCCUUUACCUAAAGGCCGAUGAAACGCUCUCUACUUUCUGCUCUGUACUGAAGACAGCAGCAAAGGAUGUCACCCAUGUGUUGAGCUUAAGAAUCAAAUGAGCAGUUUGUCAUCUGAAAUGCCUGCAGGGAAAGCCCAAUGACACAGAGCAAUAACGCUUUUCCGUGCUACUGACAAGAAUGAUUCAGUGACCCUCACUAACGCAACCUGCUGAAGUGCUUUCCUCAGCAAGCACGAACUUUGGGAGAGAUGAGCUGGCAAGCCCAGCUGGGUCCCACUGGGAUGUGCUGGAAUAUGUUUUAUUUAUUCUGGGAUUAGAUUUGUAGGUUUUGAUUCAAUCAAUAGAUCUGAUGACUUAAUGUACUAGCUGGGAAGACACAGCCAGUUUCUGAAGCUUCCCUUUCAUGCCUGCUGUCGCCUGCUCUCCUCUUGCCGGUUUAGCCAGGUCGUCACCAGAGCACAAGGGCUCAACCUCUGCAAGGACAGGAGUAACUCUCCAAGUGCAGUGACUGGCUUUUAGGUUAGAACACGCUGCAGAGAGUGUGGUGUUAUUCAUAAUAAUAACGAUUGAAUCUUAACCAUUAGAGGGCUUCUUCCGUCCUACUUGUAGGUGGAGCAUUUUGUCAUAUGUCAAAGAGAACUGAUGAGCAAAGC
rnacentral:lncRNA from 1 species